CCUACGGGUGGCAGCAGUGAGGAAUAUUGGUCAAUGGACGAGAGUCUGAACCAGCCAAGUAGCGUGAAGGAUGACUGCCCUAUGGGUUGUAAACUUCUUUUAUAUGGGAAUAAAAUGUUCCACGUGUGGGAUUUUGUAUGUACCAUAUGAAUAAGGAUCGGCUAACUCCGUGCCAGCAGCCGCGGUAAUACGGAGGAUCCGAGCGUUAUCCGGAUUUAUUGGGUUUAAAGGGUGCGUAGGUGGGUUGUUAAGUCAGUUGUUAAAGUUUGCGGCUCAACCGUAAAAUUGCAGUUGAAACUGGCAGGCUUGAGUACAGUAGAGGUGGGCGGAAUUCGUGGUGUAGCGGUGAAAUGCUUAGAUAUCACGAAGAACUCCGAUUGCGAAGGCAGCUCACUGGACUGCAACUGACACUGAUGCUCGAGAGUGUGGGUAUCAAACAGGAUUAGAUACCCCUGUAGUC
rnacentral:rRNA from 1 species